rnacentral:rRNA from 1 species
AACGAACGCUGGGGGCAUGCCUAACACAUGCAAGUCGAACGAGAUCCUUCGGGGUCUAGUGGCGCACGGGUGCGUAACGCGUGGGAAUCUGCCCUUAGGUUCGGAAUAACAGUUAGAAAUGACUGCUAAUACCGGAUGAUGACGUUAAGUCCAAAGAUUUAUCGCCUGAGGAUGAGCCCGCGUAGGAUUAGCUAGUUGGUGUGGUAAAGGCGCACCAAGGCGACGAUCCUUAGCUGGUCUGAGAGGAUGAUCAGCCACACUGGGACUGAGACACGGCCCAGACUCCUACGGGAAGCAGCAGUGGGGAAUAUUGGACAAUGGGCGCAAGCCUGAUCCAGCAAUGCCGCGUGAGUGAUGAAGGCCUUAGGGUUGUAAAGCUCUUUUACCCGGGAUGAUAAUGACAGUACCGGGAGAAUAAGCCCCGGCUAACUCCGUG